CACGCAGGCGGUCCGUUGAAUUAGAAGUGAAAGCCCUGGGCUCAACCUGGGAAUUGCUUUUAAGACUGGCGGACUUGAAUCCAGAAGAGGGUAGUGGAAUUCCCAGUGUAGAGGUGAAAUUCGUAGAUAUUGGGAAGAACACCAGUGGCGAAGGCGACUGCCUGGUCUGGCAUUGACGCUCAUGUGCGAAAGCGUGGGGAGCAAACAGGAUUAGAUACCCUGGUAGUCCACGCCGUAAACGAUGGGUGCUAGUUGUUGGGGUCCAUAGGACUUCAGUGACGCAGCUAACGCAUUAAGCACCCCGCCUGGGGAGUACGGUCGCAAGAUUAAA
rnacentral:rRNA from 1 species